CACGUAGGGGACGAGCGUUGUCCGGAUUCAUUGGGCGUAAAGCGCGCGUAGGCGGCUUUGCAAGUCGGGUGUGAAAUCCCCAGGCUUAACCUGGGAACUGCAUUCGAGACUGCAUUGCUAGAGUAUGGGAGAGGGAAGUGGAAUUUCCGGUGUAGCGGUGAAAUGCGUAGAUAUCGGAAGGAACAUCAGUGGCGAAAGCGACUUCCUGGACCAAUACUGACGCUCAUGUGCGAAAGCGUGGGGAGCAAACAGG
rnacentral:rRNA from 1 species